GACGAACGCUGGCGGCGUGCCUAAUACAUGCAAGUUGAGCGAUGAAGAUUGGUGCUUGCACCAAUUUGAAGAGCAGCGAACGGGUGAGUAACGCGUGGGGAAUCUGCCUUUUAGCGGGGGACAACAUUUGGAAACGAAUGCUAAUACCGCAUAACAACUUUAAACAUAAGUUUUAAGUUUGAAAGAUGCAAUUGCAUCACUCAAAGAUGAUCCCGCGUUGUAUUAGCUAGUUGGUGAGGUAAAGGCUCACCAAGGCGAUGAUACAUAGCCGACCUGAGAGGGUGAUCGGCCACAUUGGGACUGAGACACGGCCCAAACUCCUACGGGAGGCAGCAGUAGGGAAUCUUCGGCAAUGGACGAAAGUCUGACCGAGCAACGCCGCGUGAGUGAAGAAGGUUUUCGGAUCGUAAAACUCUGUUGGUAGAGAAGAACGUUGGUGAGAGUGGAAAGCUCAUCAAGUGACGGUAACUACCCAGAAAGGGACGGCUAACUACGUG
rnacentral:rRNA from 1 species